ACAAGCGGUGGAGCAUGUGGUUUAAUUCGAUGCAACGCGAAGAACCUUACCUGGUCUUGACAUCCACGGAAGUUUUCAGAGAUGAGAAUGUGCCUUCGGGAACCGUGAGACAGGUGCUGCAUGGCUGUCGUCAGCUCGUGUUGUGAAAUGUUGGGUUAAGUCCCGCAACGAGCGCAACCCUUAUCCUUUGUUGCCAGCGGUCCGGCCGGGAACUCAAAGGAGACUGCCAGUGAUAAACUGGAGGAAGGUGGGGAUGACGUCAAGUCAUCAUGGCCCUUACGACCAGGGCUACACACGUGCUACAAUGGCGCAUACAAAGAGAAGCGACCUCGCGAGAGCAAGCGGACCUCAUAAAGUGCGUCGUAGUCCGGAUUGGAGUCUGCAACUCGACUCCAUGAAGUCGGAAUCGCUAGUAAUCGUGGAUCAGAAUGCCACGGUGAAUACGUUCCCGGGCCUUGUACACACCGCCCGUCACACCAUGGGAGUGGGUUGCAAAAGAAGUAGGUAGCUUAACCUUCGGGAGGGCGCUUACCACUUUGUGAUUCAUGACUGGGGUGAAGUCGUAACAAGGUAACCGUAGGGGAACCUGCGGUUGGAUCACCUCCUUACCUUAAAGAAGC
rnacentral:rRNA from 1 species